rnacentral:rRNA from 1 species
CCUACGGGAGGCAGCAGUGAGGAAUAUUGGUCAAUGGACGCAAGUCUGAACCAGCCAUGCCGCGUGCAGGAAGACGGCUCUAUGAGUUGUAAACUGCUUUUGUACGAGGGUAAACGCAGAUACGCGUAUCUGUCUGAAAGUAUCGUACGCAUAAGGCUCGGCUAACUCCGUGCCAGCAGCCGCGGUAAUACGGAGGAUUCAAGCGUUAUCCGGAUUUAUUGGGUUUAAAGGGUGCGUAGGCGGUCGGAUAAGUUAGAGGGGAAAUCCCGAGGCUCAACUUCGGAAUUGCAUCUGAUACUGUUCGGCUAGAGAGUAGUUGCGGUAGGCGGAAUGUAGGGUGUAGCGGUGAAAUGCUUAGAGAGCAUACAGAACACCGAUUGCGAAGGCAGCUUACCAAGCUACUUCUGACGUUGAGGCACGAAAGCGUGGGGAGCAAACAGGAUUAGAGACCCCUGUAGUC